GGAGAUUUGGCAGAGUGGUCGAUUGCGUUGGUCUUGAAAACCAAUGAACGUUUGCGCGUUCCCAGGGUUCGAAUCCCUGAGUCUCCGCCA
rnacentral:tRNA from 1 species